rnacentral:rRNA from 1 species
GAUUAAUGCCCCAUAGUAUUAUUAAAUGGCAUCAUUUUAUAAUUAAAGUCACAACGGUAAAAGAUGAGCAUGCGUCCCAUAUGUUAGUUGGUAAGGUAACGGCUUACCAAGACAAUGAUGGGAUGGGGUCCAUGGAGGGAGAUCCCCCACACUGGUACAUGGACACGGACCAGACUCCUACGGGAGGCAGCAGUGAGGAAUAUUGGACAAUGGGCGCAAGCCUGAUCCAGCCAUGCCGCGUGCAGGAAGACGGUCCUAUGGAUUGUAAACUGCUUUUAUACAGGAAGAAACACUCCGACGUGUCGGAGCUUGACGGUACUGUAGGAAUAAGGAUCGGCAUGCUCCGUGCCAGCAGCCGCGGUAAUACGGAGGAUCCAAGCGUUAUCCGGAAUCAUUGGGUUAUGAGGGUCCGUAGGCGGUUUAAUAAGUCAGUGGUGAAAUCUGGUCGCUCAACGAUCAAACGGCCAUUGAUACUGUUAGACAAUGUUAAUGGGAAGAUGCUAGAAAUGUGUGUGAUGCGGAAAUGUGCUAUGAUAUUACAUGGAAUACCAAUUGCGAAGGCAGGUUACUACUUAUGGAUUGACGCUGAUGGACGAAAGCGUGGGGAGCGAACAGGAUUAGAUACCCUGGUAGUCCACGCCGAUGACGAUGGAUACAUGCUGUUGGGAGCAAUCUCAGUGGCAUGGCGAAAGAUGGUAUCCCACCUGGGGAGUACGUUCGCAAGAAUGAAACUCAAAGGAAUUGACGGGGGCCCGCACAAGCGGUGGAGCAUGUGGUUAUGUUCGAUGAUACGCGAGGAACCUUACCAAGGCAUGUGUGAUAUGCAGGACUGGAAACAGUUUUUUCUUCGGACAAUUUACAAGGUGCUGCAUGGUUGUCGUCAGCUCGUGCCGAUGAUGGGUGUCAGGUUAAGUCCUAUAACGAGCGCAACCCCUGUUGUUUGCCAGCGAGUCAUGUCGGGAACUCUAACGAGACUGCCAGUGCAAACUGUGAGGAAGGUGGGGAUGACGUCAAAUCAUCACGGCCCUUACGCCUUGGGCUACACACGUGCUACAAUGGACGGUACAGAGAGCAGCCACUGCGCAAGCAGGAGCGAAUCUACAAAACCGUUCU